AUGCGAAGUACUUACCGUUCCUGUCUCAGCAGUGAGACCGCUGGUAUCAUCGCCCUUGUCAGCAUCACUGUCAGUGUAAGAAGGAAUUCGACUCUUUUGGUGGAUGAUCCAAAAUCAGAAGAUUUGUGUGGAUCAUCCAGUGACCGUCGCCUUUGGACCACAGGCUGUCCCAGAAUCCUUGCAUGGAGAGAGAGAACUUGGAUAUGCAUCCGGCUGGCUUUGAGAAGAGAAAAUCUUGCUGACCUUGAUCAAGGUGGAUCUGAGGAGUUCCUAUUGUGGCACAGCAGAAACAAAUCCGACUAGUAUCCAUGAGGAUGCAUGUUCGAUCCCUGGCCUCGCUCAGUGGGUUAAGGAUCUGGCAUUGCUGUGAGCUGUGGUGUAGGUCACAGACGUUGCUUGGAUCUAGCGUUGCUGUGGCUGUGGCAUAGGCCAGCCACUGCCGCUCUGAUCCAGCCCCCAGCCUGGGAACUUCAUGUGCCGUGGGUGCAGCCCUAAAAAAAAAAAAAAAAAAGAUGGAUCUGACUAUAAUCAAGAAGGCGUUUCCCCAUGAGCAGCUGUUCCACCUGUGUUCUCUGAGGUCCACACUGGCUGUCCUUGCCUGUAGGACAUUUUGCUCUAUUGCAUUUUUUCUGCAUGUGGAAGUACUAUAACGGCUAAGUGACAUUUCUGCCUCUCACCAUCCUUAUUUCCUUUGUGGGAACUUCCUUUCUCUUUUCUAUGUGUUUCCAGGGGGCUGCCAAUCAGGCCGCGCUGUCCUCCAGUGCAGACCCGGACACCUGACCCAGGCUGGGCCAAAUCUAGUGCUACACCCCCCUUGCAUCUGCGCUUGCUCCAGGGGCUGCCAGAGUUGACAUCUCCUCUGUCCUCUGAUUGCAUUGAUAUGGAAAUUGCAGGUCACCAAGAGACAGACUAAUCAGAGUGUUUUGCUCUUUCUCCAUCUCUCCAAAAUCACAAUGCAAGAUUUUGCUCCUAUUGUUCCUAUUCCUACAUGAAGGUGGAUUCUUCAGUUGCUCUGAUGAGCACAGAUCCCUGGAGCCAGUACGGUUUACCCAGUGACAGGGUCAGAUAACAAAACGUCUGCAAACAUGACCAGAAAACCACUUCAAAAGAUUGGAAUGUUAUGACCUUUUUAAUGCCUUAGGGCAGAAACAAGUCCUGUUUGUUCAUUUGUUUAUUAUCUUAUUUUAUCUUAUUUGGGACACCUAUAGGGCUUUUCACUGAUCUUUCAUAGAAACAGACAUUGGUAGGAGUUCCCAUUGUGGCUCAGGGGGUUAAGAGCCUACCAUAGUGGGCAUCCAUGAGGAUGCAGGUUUGUUCCCUGCCCUUGUUCAGAGGAUUAAGGAUCCGACGUUGCCGCAAGCUGUGGUGUAGGUCACAGCUGCAGCUCUGAUUCGACCCCUGGCCUGGGAACUUCCGUAUGCCACAUGUGUAGCCAUUAAAAAGGGGGAAAAAGAAUAAAGAAAGAAAAAAAGAAACUGACA
rnacentral:lncRNA from 1 species